UUUGCGUAUUGAUGAAAGGGAAAAUCCACUUAUGACCAUAUUCCACAACUUAGGAAAUCCUUACCUUUAUAUAAAAAAGAAGUGGCUUCUUAGCAACCCAACAAAACUGUCAUGCCCUCCAACUCUCAACAACCACAAAACUACUACAAGAAGCAAAAUAAAACAAAACUUUCCUUAAGUUUUUCCUGUAAUGAAAUGGUGGAAGAUUUGUUCACCAGAACACUUAAGAAGUGAGCCUGGCCAGGCCUGGUGGCUCACGCCUAUAAUCCCAGCACUUUGGGAGGGCAAGGCGGGCAGAUCACCUGAGGCCAGGAGAUUGAGACCAGCUGGCCACCAUGGUGAAACUCCAUCUCUACUACGAAGUAAAAAAGUUAGUUGUGGUGGUGGCCGCUUGUAAUCCCAGCUACUUGGGAGGCUGAGGCAGGAGAAUCGCUUGAACCUGGGAGGUGGAGGUUGCAGUAAGCUGAGAUCACGCCAUUGCACUCCAGCCUGGGCAACAGAGUGAAACUCCAUCUCAAAAAAAAAAAAAAAAAAAAAAAAAAAAUUGAGCCUGUCAGACUCUGGGACAUUUAACAGUGGAUAGAACUAUCUCAGGGGGAGGUCUGAAGAACUGUCUUUUACUUCUGAGAGGACAAAGGAUAAGAGGAAGAGAGGAAGAGUUGGAAGAGGUGUCAGCACUAGGAGAGGAGGCCUGUCACUCUGGUAGGUGACUCUUCCCCAUGAUAGUCUUCAAUAUUCACAAAGCUAAACUGUCUCAUGAUUUUUCUGAAGCCAAUGAAUUACCUAGACUUCACAUUCACCCUGAUAUGAGGCAAAGCCAAGGCAGUAUUUAUAGGUACAACAGCUUAAAGGUAAGGAGACACAGGAGGAAUUAAACCCUAAAAACUCAAAUAACUCUCUUUGAGGGUUUUAGAUUGGAUUAGGCCAUAGGUUCAAGUCGAGUUGGAAUAGUUCUCUAAGAGACAAGGAGACUCCCAGAUGACUCUUGCUUUAUAAAUUGAUUUCAGGGUUUUGUUUGUUUGUUGCUGGUUGUUUGGUUGAUUCAUUUAGAAAUAUUUUCCUCACCAAGCCAGAGACCAGGCACUGCACCACGUCAGCUUUUUCACCAUUAACCUUUCACUGUGCUCUAUGUAGGUUACAAAAUAACACAAUAGGAAAAACAUUUUGAAAUUAAGAGAUAAGAGUGGACCAGGCUAUUAAAAUAACUAUGCAGAUGACAAUCUAGCAACACUCACAGAGUAUUUCAAAUAAUGACUUUAGAAACUAAGACCGGGCGCGAUAAUAAUGCACAUUUAAAUUGGCGCUAUUUAAAGGCAAAAUAGCUGUACUAUAAAAAGUGUCACUGAUACUUCAAUUCUACGUGCCUUUCAAACAGUAUGAAAAACUGUAACUAUAGUGUAUGCCUCAAAAAAGCAAAGACUGUUGCAGUGAUAAAUAUAUACAAUCUCCUGAGAAAAAACUUUAUACACAUAUUUUAGGGCAAGAGAAUUUAAUUUUCAAAAGUGUAUUAGUCUGUUUCACACUGCUAUAAGGAACUACCAGAGACUGGGGAAUUUAUUUAAAAAGUGAAGUUUAACUGACUCAUAGUUCUGUAUGUCUGGGGAGGCCUCAGGAAACUUACAGUUAUGGUGAAAAGCAGAAGAAGCAGCAAGCACUUUCUUCACAAGGGGGCAGGAGAGAGAGAGGAAUUGUGCAGGGGAAACUGCCACAUUUAAAUUAUCAGAUAUCAUGAGAACUCCCUCACUAUCAUGAGAUCAGCAUGGGGAAAACUGCCCCUGUGAUCCAAUCGACUCCCACCAGUUCCAUCCCUCUACAUGUGAGGAUUACAAUUUGAGAUGAGAUUUGGGUGGGGAUACAGAGCCAAACCAUAUAGAAAAGCAAGGACACUUAAAAGUAAUGUUAGUUUUAUGCAACUGUUAAUAAUGAAAGUUUAGGGGGAAGACAAAUUUUAUCCUGAAAGUUUGUUCUCCUGAAUUGCCUGAUACUCACCAUCUAUUUGCAAAAGUUAGGAUUGACUACACUAAUACCAGUUACAGCUAACAGCUAUCAAUGUUGACUAACGUAUCACUCUGACCACUUUUUAGCACUGCGAUUCAGGAUUGGGAAAUAAUAACAUUCUUGGAACACUUCUUUACAAAGGAAGCUCAUGAGGGAGAAAAAAAUAAAACAGAUAAAAGCAGAGCUACUAUUGUUGAAGCUGGGGCACAAAACGCCACCAACUUGGACCCUUUCUCCUUUCUCAUGGUGGCCCCCAGGGGAAAUCUAAAGAAACUAAAGGGUCCUGAGGGAUAAAGUUCAUCCUCCGUCACUUUCUGGAAAUCAGUAGAUGGAAUGGAAGCGGGGUUGGGUUGAGGGAGAGAUGCCAACUUCAUCCCAAACUCUGCCCACUUAUGAGAUUCUCUCAUAUUUGAAUGAAUGAUGAGGCAGACUGCAAAAGUGAAUUCCUUGAGGGACUUGAAAAUCUCAUGAAAGACCUAACUCAUUCCCUUGAAAGGAAGACAGAAUAAGGCAGAAAAGCUAGUAACAAAGUCUAAUCACACAGGGAAGCACCCCAUGUUACUUGUUUUAUUUUUUGUUACUUGUAGUGUGAAAUAUCUCUCAUCCAGGCACUAAUGGUCUAAUAUGAUACAGGAAUCUUGCAAAUGUGCAGAUGUUGGAAAGGGUUGGUGGGAUUCUAAAUAAAAAGGGAAAGGUUUCAUUAAGAUUUCUGUAAUAACAAAGCAAGACAAAGGUUGAGCAUAAGCAGCAUGCGUUGGUUCCCCUGUGGAAAAGUUUAACAGUGCAGAGGAAAGGGCUGUUUAAAAAAAAAAAAAAAAAAAAAAAAAAAAGAAA